UCUCCGUUGGUGAACCAGCGGAGGGAUCAUUACCGGGUUUACAACUCCCAAACCCCAUGUGAACCUUACCAAACGUUGCUUCGGCGGGAUGCCCCGGGCGCGGGCCGCAAGGCCUCAGCCCCGGAACCAGGCGCCCGCCGGAGGCCCAAACCAAACUCUUGUUUUUGUAGAAUCUUCUGAGUGGCCUUUUAGGCAAAAAAUGAAUCAAAACUUUCAACAACGGAUCUCUUGGUUCUG
rnacentral:misc_RNA from 1 species